rnacentral:ncRNA from 1 species
UAAAGCACGUCGAAGGAAAGAAGCUAAGUAAACAUUUAUAGUGAGCUGUUGGCCAGUGGGAAACAGUAAUGUACUUAGUUGAAUGGUUCUGGAGUGCUGCUAGGUGAAAGUAAGUAAGCUAGCACGGGGAGCGACCGUUACUCGUUGAGUCUAUGACUCAUUAAGGUUGAUGGAGCAAUCUAUCAACAAAUUAAGGUGGUAACACGUAAAGUUAAGCUUUUCGUCCUUUGA